rnacentral:rRNA from 2 species
GGUUGACCUCGGAUCAGGUAGGGAUACCCGCUGAACUUAAGCAUAUCAAUAAGCGGAGGAAAAGAAACCAACCGGGAUUGCCUCAGUAACGGCGAGUGAAGCGGCAAGAGCUCAAAUUUGAAAGCUGGCUCCUUCGGGGUCCGCAUUGUAAUUUGCAGAGGAUGCUUCGGGUGCGGCCCCUGUCUAAGUGCCCUGGAACGGGCCGUCAGAGAGGGUGAGAAUCCCGUCU